rnacentral:rRNA from 1 species
UCUUCCCUCUCGCGGCGUGCCUAAUACAUGCAAGUCGAGCGAACAGACGAGGAUCUUGCUCCUCUGACGUUAGCGGCGGACGGGGGAGUAACACGUGGAUAACCUACCUAUAAGACUGGGAUAACGUCGGGAAACCGGAGCUAAUACCGGAUAAUAUAUUAAACCGCAUGGUUCAAUAGUGAAAGACGGUUUUGCGGUCAGGUAUAGAUGGAUCCGCGCCGCAUUAGCUAGUUGGUAAGGUAACGGCUUACCAAGGCAACGAUGCGUAGCCGACCUGAGAGGGGGACAGGCCCAACCAGACCUGCGCUGAGGUACAGACUCCACCGGGACGAAACAGAAGGGAAUGUUACGCAAUGGGAGAAAGCCUGCCGGAGCCCCGCCGCGUGAGUGAUGAGAGUAUUCGGAUCGUAAAACUCUGUUAUUAGGGUAGAACACAUGUGUAAGUAACUAUUCACCUCUUGACGGUACCUAAGCAGAAAGCACCGGCUAACUCCGUG